UACGGAGGGUGCAAGCGUUAUCCGGAUUCACUGGGUUUAAAGGGUGCGUAGGCGGGCUGGUAAGUCCGUGGUGAAAUCCCCGAGCUUAACUUGGGAACUGCCGUGGAUACUAUCAGUCUUGAAUAUCGUGGAGGUAAGCGGAAUAUGUCAUGUAGCGGUGAAAUGCUUAGAUAUGACAUAGAACACCAAUUGCGUAGGCAGCUUACUACUCGAUCAUUGACGCUGAGGCACGAAAGCGUGGGGAGCAAACAGG
rnacentral:rRNA from 1 species